rfam:Triticum aestivum genome assembly, contig: Triticum_aestivum_CS42_TGACv1_scaffold_604385_7DL
UGACUAUUCCCUCCGUCCCAAAAUUCUUGUCUUAAAUUAGUCAGAUACGGAUGUAUCUAAUACUAAAAUAUGACUUGAUACAUCUGUAUUUAAACAAAUCUAAGACAAAAAAUUUGGGACGGAUGGAGUACAUA